rnacentral:tRNA from 1 species
UGUAGGUUAGCUCAAUGGUUAGAGCUUAGGGCUUAUGACCAUAAGGUAUCACGUUAGAAUCUCGCCAGAGGCAG